rnacentral:rRNA from 1 species
AUUGAACUCUGGCGGCAGGCCUAACGCAUGCAAGUCGAACGAGUGGCGGACGGGUGCGUAAUGUCUGGGAAACUGCCUGAUGGAGGGGGAUAACUACUGGAAACGUUAGCUAAUACCGCAUACCAUCGGAUGUGCCCAGAUGGGAUUAGCUAGUAGGUGGGGUAACGGCUCACCUAGGCGACGAUCCCUAGCUGGUCUGAGAGGAUGACAAGGCAAAAUGGAACUGAGAAACGGGCCAGAACCCUACGGGAGGCAGCAGUGGGGAAUAUGGCAAAAUGGGCGCAAGCCUGAGGCAGCCAUGCCGCGUGUAUGAAGAAGGCCUUCGGGUUGUAAAGUACUUUCAGCGGGGAGGCGGUACCCGCAGAAGAAGCACCGGCUAAUUCCGUGCCAGCAGACGCGGUAAUACC